ACUGCACCAGAAUUUAAAUUCGCAUACCAGGUUUGGUGGCACAAAUUGGAGGUCAAACAAGGUAAUUUCAAGUAGUUUUAAGCUUUGAAGCAAUGGAGGGACACAAAAGGAACCUAGGAGAGGCACUAGAUCAGAUUAAACACGCAAGAAAAAGCAAAAUCGAAGAGCCAAAAGUAGCGCAGUAAACUGUUUGAUAAUUUUGCAAACUGUUUGAUGAAAGUCCCCAAUGAGCUUCGGAUUUAGUGAUUUUCGGGUUUUGGGGUUCAAAACUGGAUUGCAUGGUUUUCUUUUGCUUUUUAUGAUUGGAUUAUACUUCUUGGAUCAUAUAAUUCCAUAUGGAAACAUGUAACCAGCUCUUGCCAAUCCAGAAUUGAAAAUUAAAGAUUGCACAAAACCAAACAGCACUAAAAGUGAAAACUGCACCAGAAAAAUGGCUUUAAAAGUGUGCUUUCAGACCCAAAAAUGAGUGACAGUGUUUGGAAAGGUUAAUUGAUGGUCCACGCAAGUUUAUAUCAUCAACUUGAAGGUGUACAAACACUCAAACAGCAAAGGAAUACACUGCAGCAAAAAUUCACUAGUUGACUUCCAAAUUUAGGCAAAAUUUAUGGUUUAGGAAGUGAUUUUGCGUAGUAGCACAAUUUUGACCAAAUGAACAGUGCACACAAGUUUGGAAUGGUAAAAUAAACUUGCUCAAAUGUGAAGAAAGCACUGAAACAUUCAGAUUCAUCAAAACAUAGCUGCAGUUGCUAAAAAUGCAGAAAUUGCACUAAAAAUGGUGGUUGUAAAGCUGAAACAGCAGUGGUCAACUUGAGAUGCAAUGAACCAGAUGUUCAACUAACAUAUCAAACACAUUUAUAUCCACAUAUGGAAUGGUUGCAGAUAGUUAAACAGCAAAGGCAAAGGCUGAAUCAAAUUUUCACUGGUUCACUUCCAAAAUUGAGCAAAAUUUGAUGGUUUGGAUGGUGUUUUUUUUUCGGUUAGGUGCAUAAAUGACCAUAUGAACAGUAAAAGCAUGUUUUAAUGCACCAAAUAUACUUGCAGCAACAUGUAAACAACACGGAAAAUGCCAGAAUCAAUAAUUCACACCGGCUGUCAUAAAAAAUGCAGCAAAAAGACACCUAAAUAGCACCAGAAUUGAGAAAUGAGUGGAAUCAAAGCUGGAUGCCUCAAUCAAAUCAUAAGAAAGUCCUAAAUGACUAAAUCUAGCUUCAGAAUAUAAGCUAGCAACUGUUAAUUGACCUAAGACAUUACAAGGAUACAAGCACGGUGCAUAAGCUUUUGAAGAAAACAGAAACAGGUUCAGGAAAACCAAUUUUUAGGAACUCAACCACUCUUUUUGAGAUUCAGUGGUGAAUUCUAAUUGCUAAAACUUGAAACAUGUUUAAAUGCAUCAAAUAAACGUGUCUAAAGCAUUAGGUUCAAUAAUUCUGGACAGACACGGUGUGAUAUGAUCAAACCAGAAAUGAAUUGGAUGCAGAAUUUUUUUUUUGUAACAGUGAAACGUGAUUUCAAUGCUUCAGCUCAUGUGAUCAAAGCUAGCCAAUGUGUCUUGUUGCUUUAUAUGAUCAAAGAGGAGCUAUCACUGCACUGAACACAAUAAAAAAAUCGAAAAAGUAAAGCUGAAACAGAAUCAAAACAUACGGACAGAGUAAAACGGCAAAGGAAAAUGCACAUGACCGUGGACAUGACUGAAUUUUGAAAUACAAGUUGGAAUAAAUUGAAACAAAAGGAAUGCACCGAUUAAAAUGAUGGAAAAACACUAAAGAACAAGUGAAUGAUCUAAAUUAUCCACAGAAACACAAAAUUAAAUCAAAACAAUGACGAAAAAAAAAAUUCAAAGCAAUGAUAGAAUGGAACAGUACAUGACAGGAUGUGAAUAUUGAAGGAAAUGUGACUUAUCUCAAGCAGAACCGCGUGGACGUGCUGGCUUUGACUACCAAAUGAUAGAA
rnacentral:lncRNA from 1 species